rnacentral:rRNA from 1 species
UACGAAGGGGGCUAGCGUUGCUCGGAAUCACUGGGCGUAAAGCGCACGUAGGCGGAUUGCUAAGUCAGGGGUGAAAUCCUGGAGCUCAACUCCAGAACUGCCUUUGAUACUGGCGACCUUGAGUCCGGGAGAGGUGAGUGGAACUGCGAGUGUAGAGGUGAAAUUCGUAGAUAUUCGCAAGAACACCAGUGGCGAAGGCGGCUCACUGGCCCGGUACUGACGCUGAGGUGCGAAAGCGUGGGGAGCGAACCGG